rnacentral:rRNA from 1 species
CAGUAGCCGCGGUAAUACGAAGGGUGCAAGCGUUAAUCGGAAUUACUGGGCGUAAAGCGUGCGUAGGCGGUGAGUUAAGUCUGCUGUGAAAUCCCCGGGCUCAACCUGGGAAUGGCAGUGGAUACUGGCUCGCUAGAGUGUGUCAGAGGAUGGUGGAAUUCCAGGUGUAGCGGUGAAAUGCGUAGAGAUCGGGAGGAACAUCAGUGGCGAAGGCGGCCAUCUGGGACAACACUGGCGCUGAGGCACGAAAGCGUGGGGAGCAAACAGGAUUAGAUACCCCUGUAGUCCCUGUCUCUUAUAC